UACGUAGGGUCCGAGCGUUGUCCGGAUUUACUGGGCGUAAAGAGCGCGCAGGCGGUCGUUCAAGUCGCGUGUGAAAGCCCCCGGCUCAACUGGGGAGGGUCACGCGAUACUGAUCGACUCGAAGGCAGGAGAGGGAAGUGGAAUUCCCGGUGUAGUGGUGAAAUGCGUAGAUAUCGUAAGGAAGACCAGUGGCGAAGGCGGGUCUCUGGACAGUUCCUGACGCUGAGGCACGAAGGUCAGGGGAGCAAACGGG
rnacentral:rRNA from 1 species